rnacentral:pre_miRNA from 1 species
AAAAAGUCAAACCCUGAAUUUCCGUGUUCAAUUUUAACUGUCCGUUUUAUAUAAAUUUUUUUUAUAAUUCGUAUUUUCAUUGUUGUUAGAUGAUAAAACAUAAUUAAUAUUUUAUGCGUGACUUGUCUUUUUAAUUUUUUCAUAAUUUUUUCAAAUAAGACGGACGGUCAAAUAUUGGAUACGGAAAUCAGGGUUUGUCUUUUU